AUUUGAGUAUAUCCCUACGUGGACAUGGCUGAUUAUAAUAAUGUUUGUGUUACUCUACAUGUAUGGUACAAAAGGACACGAUGUCUUAUCAAAAUUAGGCAUACCCGGUCCCAAACCAAGCUUAUUUUUUUGGAAAUAUCUUACAAUUUGGAAAGGGAACUGAUUUGCUACUUGGGGAAUGGAAAAAACAAUUUGGCGCAGUGUUUGGGUAAGUUUAU